AAUCCUUUGAGAGGCAAAAAUAUUCAGACUCUCGUAGCAGUGUUCUGGAAUCCUACGUGAGGGACAAACACUCAGAACCCAGCAGCAGUAUUCUGGAAUCCUAUGUGGGGGACAAACAUUCAGACCCUCUUAGCAGUGUUCUGGAAUCCUAUGUGAGGGACAAACAUUGAGACCCUCUUAGCAGUGUUCUUGAAUCCUACAUGAGGGAAAAACAUUCAGACCCUCAUAACAUUGUUCUGGAAUC
rnacentral:lncRNA from 1 species